ACAUGCAGUCGAGCGAAUGGAUUGAGAGCUUGCUCUCAAGCAAGUUAGCGGCGGACGGGUGUAGUAACACGUGGGUAACCUGCCCAUAAGACUGGGAUAACUCCGGGAAACCGGGGCUAAUACCGGAUAACAUUUUGAACUGCAUGGUUCGAAAUUGAAAGGCGGCUUCGGCUGUCACUUAUGGAUGGACCCGCGUCGCAUUAGCUAGUUGGUGAGGUAACGGCUCACCAAGGCAACGAUGCGUAGCCGACCUGAGAGGGUGAUCGGCCACACUGGGACUGAGACACGGCCCAGACUCCUACGGGAGGCAGCAGUAGGGAAUCUUCCGCAAUGGACGAAAGUCUGACGGAGCAACGCCGCGUGAGUGAUGAAGGCUUUCGGGUCGUAAAACUCUGUUGUUAGGGAAGAACAAGUGCUAGUUGAAUAAGCUGGCACCUUGACGGUACCUAACCAGAAAGCCACGGCUAACUACGUGCCAGCAGCCGCGGUAAUACGUAGGUGGCAAGCGUUAUCCGGAAUUAUUGGGCGUAAAGCGCGCGCAGGUGGUUUCUUAAGUCUGAUGUGAAAGCCCACGGCUCAACCGUGGAGGGUCAUUGGAGACUGGAAUACUUGAGUGCAGAAGAGGAAAGUGCAAUUCCAUGUGUAGCGGUGAAAUGCGUAGAGAUAUGGAG
rnacentral:rRNA from 2 species